UUCUCAAAACAGCUUCAGAGAAAAAUCCAUCAAUACGUCAAAGCAGCCUUGGAGUUUUCAUGAGUUGUGCAUGAGAUAUCGCUCAUUUACAGGCCCUAUGAAAUCACUCCUCUGACUUUGUGAGCGGUUAAUGAUAAACACAGCUGUAGCUGACAAUGUAAUGUCCUGAUUCACUGGCUCUCCGUCUCAGUAAGGUGGGGGGAGGGGGAUACUGCUGAUUCCAAGCAUGCCUUCUCACCAGGACGCCUCCUUUUUCACAUCACCCAGCUCUCUCCCUUUCUCAAACUAAUUUCAUGUUCUGUUUUUUUCCCGCCCCGCUCGCCGAGAGCUCGUCCAAACGGGUGACGUUGAUGAAUGCGUGGAAAGGAUCUGCUGCAGAAAUGCUGUUCAAACCAAACUGACGCUGUAUGAGAAGUCACCCAUGGCAGCGAAAACUUCCAUAAAGUGGUUUCCAUUCCCGGGACGAGUCUUUAACAUCGUCGUUGAGGAAUUUCUGCAGACUAACGCUUUGAGGCUUUCAGAGCUGGAAUGGCUUGUGUGCUUUGGAACGGAAAAAAACAGCCCCACACUGUCCUACUACCACCACCAUGUCUGACUGACAGUAUAAUGCUCUGGUGAAAAGCUUGGAUCUUUGCUCUGCAGAACUCUUUGCAAUCACUUUGCAUGCUGUCAUCCUGGU